AGAGUUUGAUCCUGGCUCAGAAUAAACGCUGGCGGCGUGCCUAACACAUGCAAGUCGAACGAGAAAGCCCGAUUUCGGUUGGGCGAGUAAAGUGGCGCACGGGUGAGUAACGCGUAGGCAACCUGCCCCUGUGUUCGGGAUAACAGUGCGAAAGCGCUGCUAAUACCGGAUAUGGCCAAGAGACGGUGGUUUUUUGGUCAAAGUCGGCCUCUCGCAGAAGCCGAUGCACGGGGAUGGGCCUGCGUCCUAUCAGCUAGUUGGUAGGGUAAUGGCCUACCAAGGCUUCGACGGGUAGCUGGUCUGAGAGGAUGAUCAGCCACACUGGCACUGAAACACGGGCCAGACUCCUACGGGAGGCAGCAGUGAGGAAUUUUGCGCAAUGGCCGCAAGGCUGACGCAGCAACGCCGCGUGGGUGAAGAAGGCCUUCGGGUCGUAAAGCCCUGUCAGGUGGGAAGAAUGUCCCCGUGAUAAAUAGUUGCGGGGAGUGACGGUACCACCAGAGGAAGCACCGGCUAACUCCGUGCCAGCAGCCGCGGUAAUACGGAGGGUGCAAGCGUUAUUCGGAAUUACUGGGCGUAAAGCGCGUGCAGGCGGGUAGGCAAGUCUGAUGUGAAAGCCCUGGGCUCAACCUGGGAAGUGCAUUGGAAACUGCUUAUCUUGAGUGCUGGAGAGGAAGGGGGAAUUCCCGGUGUAGAGGUGAAAUUCGUAGAGAUCGGGAGGAAUACCAGUGGCGAAGGCGCCCUUCUGGACGGCAACUGACGCUGAGACGCGAAAGCGUGGGGAGCAAACAGGAUUAGAUACCCUGGUAGUCC
rnacentral:rRNA from 1 species